UGUAAUAAAUAUGUAAAAAAUCCCAAUUGAUCAUGGUUGGCUGCUGCACCAACGGCAGCUAUCGUCGGCGAUGAGCCGAGAAAUCUCCAGCCCCACGAGAGAUCCAGCACGACCGAGGUGUAGGGUAUCUCGCGGCGACGGCGUUGAAUCGACGAUGCGUGGCAUUCGCGAGAAUCUCCGGGCGGCGCUCUGCAUUCCUGGCGGGAACCGCCGCCCGCCCCCAACCCUUCCUCCCCCGGACGACUCCGCCGGCGAGGGUCGGGAGGACCUCAUCAGCGCGCUCCCCGACGACGUGCUCCUCUCCGUCCUCCUCCGCCUCCCGUCCGCCGCGCGGACCAGCGUCCUCUCGCGCCGCUGGCGCCGCCUCUGGGCGCGCCUCCCGGAGCUCCGGUUCCCGCACCCCACCGACCCGCUCGCCCUCGCCCGCUCCCGCGCCGCGCUCGCGGCGCUCGCGGGCCCCGCGCUCCGCCUGCUGCGCGUCGUCGCCUACGACGCCGACCCGGGGGACGCCGCCGCGGUGCUCCGCCUCGCCGCGGCCCGCCUCGCCCGCGAGGUCUCCAUCCGCAACGUGGUGCCGGAGUGCCGGAAGAGAGCGGUGGUGGCCAGGGCCGGGGCGAGGGCCGCCGUCGUGCUGCCCUGCUUCGACAGGGCCGAACUGCUUCUCCUCUGCCUAGGUUACCUUCGCCUCGUGAUGCCACUGUCCGGAGUGUUCGCAAAGCUCACCGUGUUGUAUCUGAGCGACGUCCGGUUCGAAGAUGCCUGCGACCUCGGCGACGCCCUCUCGACAGCACGGUGCCCUUCGCUGCGAAAACUUGUUAUCCAUAACGCUCAAGGGUUGUCCAAUCUCGCUAUCUGUUCAGAGUCUCUCAGUGUGGAUUUGCGGAAUUUGGAAGGAUUGCAGCAGCUCACUGUUGUGGCACCAAUGCUCAGGGAACUGAUUAUCAUUAACUGCUUCCUCAUGAGGCAACCAGUGGCCGGCAUCUCUGCUCCAGUUCUGGAAAAACUCUGGUGGUCUGAUGUAUAUGAUCCAAGCUCAGUCCAGCUCGGUGAGCUGGCACAGCUGCGGAUGCUGGUGACCUGCUGCUUUGCAGGGUAUGGAUUGUUUGAAAAUAUGCAAAAUUGUGUCACUGUGCUGUUAUUGCAGCACUUUCAGAAGAUUGCUUUUCUUGGCAUGCUCAUCAUUCCAACUGUGAGUAUAUGUCCUGUUAUCAUGUAUUUGAAUCUGUUCUUUACUAAAAUAUUGCUAAGGAUAACUGACGAGUAACUGUCUGAAACGAAAAUUACAUCAAAGUUCAGACUAGUAGUGAUUGCUAGAUCAUGUAGCCAAGCGCUGAUCAAUAAUAUGCAUGUUUAUGGUCAAUAUUGUGACACUUGACCCUACAUGGGCAUGAAUGCAAGCAUCAAAUGUUGACAUGGAUUUAACUACUGAUCUGCUAACAAAUGAAUUGGGGUCUUUUGAUCGUACCUCAACCCAAAUGGACUGAAGCUCCAAGACACUCACAUUCUUUGGCUAAUUUAUAAUUUUAUAGUACAGUAAAAAUGGAAAAAAAUAUUAUAUUUCUCCUGUGUCCUGGCAUUAAAUACAAAGUCUUUAUCAGGAUCAGUAGUUGAGAAGAUUGUCGUAUUGUUCCUGUAUCCUGCCAGGCUGCCAUCAAACGUGAAGUCUUUACCAGGAUUAGUAGUUGAGAAUAUUGGCUUUUUGUUGGUACCAUCCUUAAUGGUGUCACACAUGCCAAUCUUUGGAAAUCAUGCAAGAUGACGAUGUCCUUAGUAUUAAGGCUUUAUUGAUAUGUCCAAACCAUUUUAACUGGCCAACGAUGGAGAAAAUUUUCUUUAAUUGGUGCCACCCCUACCCACGUAUAUCAUCAUGUCAAACAUGAUCCUUUCUUCUAUUACUGCAAAUGAUAAUUUGUAAGCACACCUCGAUUCUUAUAUAAAAUCCUCGCACGAUUUAACAAGCCUAUCAGUCGUAGGGUUAUUGAGGUUCUUCAUUCAAAUUACAUCCUAUUGAUGGGUCAUGUUUAGUCUAACUUAUAUUUAUAAAAUUUAAUGCACAUUGGUACCUUAUUGAAUGAUGGCAUUACUGCAACUGCUUUUUGUUAGUUAUACACAUAACAGAUGCACUGGUAUGGUUGUAAUAUUUGGUCAAGGACAUGAAUUCAAGAGUGGAGGUAUAGUAUGUUUGGGGCAUAUUCAACUCAGAGCUGAGGCCCAAACAGGAACAUGGUUAACUACCAGUACUUCAUGGAGGCGACAGCCUUACUCCCAGACAUUGAGAACUUACACCUGCGCUUGGCAAGACAUGGACAUGUUGUUGGCACUUGUGUAUUCCAUAUGCUUAAGAUUUCUACCAGUAUAAGAAGGUUGAAUCUGGAUAUAAAUGAAGGCAUUAAG